rnacentral:rRNA from 1 species
UUCCACCUACGGGGGGCAGCAGUGGGGAAUAUUGCACAAUGGGCGAAAGCCUGAUGCAGCAACGCCGCGUGAAGGAAGAAGGGUUUCGGCUCGUAAACUUCUCUUAACAGGGACGAAAGAAAUGACCGUACCUGAAUAAGAAGCCCCGGCUAACUACGUGCCCGCAGCCGCGGUCAUACGUAGGGGGCAAGCGUUAUCCGGAAUUACUGGGUGUAAAGGGUGAGUAGGCGGCAUGGUCAGCCAGAUG